UACGGAGGGUGCAAGCGUUAUCCGGAUUUACUGGGUUUAAAGGGUGCGUAGGUGGAUUGGUAAGUCAGUGGUGAAAUACUUUCGCUUAACGAAGGAACUGCCAUUGAUACUAUCAAUCUUGAAUGUAGUGGAGGUAGGCGGAAUGCGUCAUGUAGCGGUGAAAUGCUUAGAUAUGACGCAGAACACCAAUUGCGAAGGCAGCUCGCUGGGACGUUACGUGACGCUGAGACGCGAAAGCGUGGGGAGCAAACAGGG
rnacentral:rRNA from 1 species